rnacentral:lncRNA from 1 species
CUCCUGAUUACAAGAAAGACCUUUAUUCCAACAGGUGAAGUUGAAGAGUAUUCAUAAGUCUCACUGCAAUUUUUAAACUUUUUUCCAAAGGCAAGUUUUUACCACCUUCUAAUUUACAACAAAUGCUAUCCAUAUUGGGAUGACUCCUCAAACUCUAUCUUCAACUCAGGUGACUGUUGAGAUUAAGUUCCAUUCAUUCAACAGCCAACUGCACAUUCUAUGCUCAACAUAACCAUGACUAAACUCAUCAGCCUCCACAUCAAACCUGGUCUUCUUCCUUUCUUCAUGUGGUCUUGACUGAUUUCCUCUGCACAAGCCAGAAUCUAUCUAGCCCAUUAAGUGAAGGCUCUAUGCCAUCCACAGGGCUGACUGCCUUUUAAACACAGAACAUCCGUCUUCCCUACCAUUGUGUGCCUAGCUCUGUGUCUAACUCCAGGAACGCCUAAAGCAAACUUACUUCACCAUUUCCACAUUCCACUACCACAGACCCCAGGAUCUGGACCACCAGGCGUAUCUUCCUUGGAGAGUCGGCUUCUCAUAGGAGAGUCCUUCUCAUCCUUGCAGUGCCUGGCACAAGCAGCUCCAAGGAUGACAGCACUUUCUCUCCAGGAACAGGCUGACCACAGGUGGGAAACACAUCUAAAGGUAUCCAUCACAGCUGACAGAAGAAUGGAACAAUGUGAUGCCUGGAGCCUGUCAUGCCUGGAGAUCAACAUCCCUGGACCCCCUCUUUACUGCUCGUUUUUCAUACAUAACUGCUUCAAGAUUCUGUAAUCCUUGAAGAUAGGUUUUUGAAAUAUGAGCCACCUGUCUUCUGAUUAGCCAUCUAAUCUAAUUAAACUUCCUUCUCGAUUUCUAACUGGUUGUGAUUAAUUGGAUCAGAUCAUGGUGAGCAGAGCAAGCCCAUUGCUCAGUAUCAUUAGGAUAACCCCACUCCCCCAACUAGGAUAGUCUCCAGCAUAGCAUCCUAAUUGGAAUAACCUCUUAACUGGAAUAGUCUCCUCACUGGAAUAACC